rnacentral:rRNA from 1 species
GACGAACGCUGGCGGCGUGCCUAAUACAUGUAAGUAGAACGCUGAAGCGAGGAGCUUGCUCUUCUUGGAUGAGUUGCGAACGGGUGAGUAACGCGUAGGUAACCUGCCUUGUAGCGGGGGAUAACUAUUGGAAACGAUAGCUAAUACCGCAUAACAAUGGAUGACACAUGUCAUUUAUUUGAAAGGGGCAAUUGCUCCACUACAAGAUGGACCUGCGUUGUAUUAGCUAGUAGGUGAGGUAAUGGCUCACCUAGGCGACGAUACAUAGCCGACCUGAGAGGGUGAUCGGCCACACUGGGACUGAGACACGGCCCAGACUCCUACGGGAGGCAGCAGUAGGGAAUCCUCGGCAAUGGGGGCAACCCUGACCGAGCAACGCCGCGGGAGUGAAGAAGGUUUUCGGAUCGUAAAGCUCUGUUGUAAGUCAAGAACGGGUGUGAGAGUGGAAAGUUCACACUGUGACGGUAGCUUACCAGAAAGAGACGGCUAACUACGUG